GGAGGGAUGGCAGAGUGGUUGAAUGCGGCGGUCUUGAAAACCGUUGAGCGUUUGUGCGUUCCGAGAGUUCGAAUCUCUCUCCCUCCG
rnacentral:tRNA from 1 species